GCGCACAGAUCGUAUAACCGUUGGCGGCUUCUUCCUGAAUUUUUAAUCGGCGGGACGGGUGAGUAACACGUGGUAUAACCUACCUAUAAGUACUGCGGUAUAACUCCGGGAAACCGGGGCUAAUACCGGAUAAUAUUUUGAACCGCAUGGUUCAAUAGUGAAAGACGGUUUCGGCUGUCACUUAUAGAUGGACCCGCGCCGUAUUAGCUAGUUGGUAAGGUAAUGGCUUACCAAGGCGACGAUACGUAGCCGACCUGAGAGGGUGAUCGGCCACACUGGAACUGAGACACGGUCCAGACUCCUACGGGAGGCAGCAGUAGGGAAUCUUCCGCAAUGGGCGAAAGCCUGACGGAGCAACGCCGCGUGAGUGAUGAAGGUCUUCGGAUCGUAAAACUCUGUUGUUAGGGAAUAACAAAUUUGUUAGUAACUGAACAAGUCUUGACGGUACCUAACCAGAAAGCCACGGCUAACUACGUGCCAGCAGCCGCGGUAAUACGUAGGUGGCAAGCGUUAUCCGGAAUUAUUGGGCGUAAAGCGCGCGUAGGCGGUUUCUUAAGUCUGAUGUGAAAGCCCACGGCUCAACCGUGGAGGGUCAUUGGAAACUGGGAAACUUGAGUGCAGAAGAGGAGAGUGGAAUUCCAUGUGUAGCGGUGAAAUGCGCAGAGAUAUGGAGGAACACCAGUGGCAAAGGCGGCUCUCUGGUCUGUAACUGACGCUGAUGUGCGAAAGCGUGAGGAUCAAACAGGAUUAGAUACUCUGGUAGUCCACGCNGUACACGAUGAGUGCUAAGUGUUAGGGGGUUUCCGCCCCUUAGUGCUGCAGCUAACGCAUUAAGCACUCCGCCUGGGGAGUACGAACGCCAGGGUUGAAACUCAAAGGAAUUUGACGGGGACCCGCCACACCCGUUGGAACCAUGUGGUUUUAUUUCNAAACCACCGCCAAAAACCCUUUACCA
rnacentral:rRNA from 1 species